CCGCACGCGCGCUACACUGAUGAAGUCAUCGAGUUCAUUUCCUUUAUCGGAAGAUAUGGGUAAUCUUUUGAAAACUUCAUCGUGCUGGGGAUAGAGCAUUGCAACUAUUGCUCUUGAAACGAAGGAAAUCCCUAAGUAAGUACAAGUCACUAGCUUGUGCUGAUUACGUCCCUGCCCUUUGUACACACCGCCCGUCGCUACUACCGAUUGGAAUGGGCUUAGUGAGGCCUUCGGAUUGAAAUUCGGAGACUGGCAACAGACUCUUGGGUUUGAAAAGUUGGUCAACUUGGUCAUUUAGAGGAAGUAAAAGUCGUACAAGGUUCCCGUAGGUGAACCUGCGGAAGGAUCAUUA
rnacentral:rRNA from 1 species